rnacentral:rRNA from 1 species
UCUAAGUCGUGUAGGUGGAGCCGCCAGCCGUCCGCGGUUCUGCGGGGCAGCCGGCGCGGGCGUUUUUAUAGCCGCGGGGCAGCUGUCAGCUGUCGUCCCGUAGGUGUCGGGUGUCGGGUGUUCGGUGGGCGCCAGAGGCGGAGGGCACGGGGCGUGAGGGCAGGCGAAGCGCUUGGAAGGAGGAGGCGGUGUUCCCGUUCCCUCCGGUGGAGUGGAGUGGGUGGGUUGGUGUCGGUGCCGGCUGGUUGGGGCUCUUUUAGGGGGAGCUAAUGGGGAGGGCUGCGGCGCGGCCCGUUUUAGCGGCCAGUAAAAGGGCCCCGGAGGCGCGGAGGUGCGGCGGGGAAGGUAGCCAUUGAGGCGGCUAAAUAGGGGGCGGGAGGGGAGGGGGGUGGUGGAGGGAAGAGCAACUCUCAAAGAAGAGCGGGAGAGAUAGGCGAGGAGCGCUCGCUACCAACCGCUGGAGAGGGAGGAGCGGAGGCGGAGGCGGAGGGGGCAGUAGGAGCGCGGGAGGUUCCUCGAGGUACCGCAGGACGGCAAGGUCCCCUUCUCCAGGGUCGUCCUGCGCCCCUCUUCGCGGCGGCACGUCGAGAGGGGCGUCGUCGUGGAGGAGCUCCCGCGGAUGGUCCGCGUCGUCGGGGACGUCUACUACCAGGGGCCCUAGCCGGUCCGACGGCGGCGACGGAUGGUCUGGAAGCUGUCGCGGCGCGAGUAGCUGCACGUUCUAAGGGUGGGGCUAAGCCAAGCUGAAUCGGAACCCUAACGACUCGUCACACGUUCCGUUCUCUUUUAGGAUUUCAAAGAUUACAGUCCAAGACUACAGUUUCUUGAACUACGGAGAAACGAAUGACUUAAAUGCCCUGUAGUCUACGAUAGUCGAUUAUACCCACCAGUUGGUAUAAAGAGACUACUAUUCAAUAGACAGAUACUCAAACCUAACCUCCUCGGAGACGUCAUAGAUCGUUUUUUAGUUGAAUAGUAGGGACUACUGUUCAAUAGGUAGAUACUCAAACCUAACCUCCUCGGAGACGUCAUAGAUAGUCUUUUAGUUGAAUAGUAGGGACUAGGUGAAAACCUUAAACGAGUCAGGGUUCCACGGGAACGAUAUCUACUUUUACCGGCCCAGUAGAAGUGACCGUCACCUCUGCUCUACUCUCUGAAUGAAAGCCAAAAGAAUCUCAAGUUACAUGGAUUUGCUCUUCGUUCACCAACGUUCCGACGUAUAAAUCAAGGUAUGAAGCUGUCCUUUUCCCCGGCUUUAUCAUCAGUUAGGUUAAGUUUUAGUCGUUCGUGGCGUCAACUACGAGGUUUUUCGUUACGUUUACACUUUCGUUUUAGAGGUAGCUUCUUCUUUGUCUUUCCUUUUUGGUAGUUACUUGCACUGUACAUAGUCUUGUUAAUAAAGGUACGGUCGCUUCGAAAAAAGAGUUAGGAAAACCUGUUCCUGUCUUCGUCGAGCUGUUAAGAGAGUGACUUCUUUCGUCCGGGACUCUAGUGACUUGACAACUGUGUCACGAGUUAACCGUAACGACCUUGACCGGACCGACAAGAAGACAGCCAGCACACGUUCCAACGAUAGCCGCCCUCCUGAGGAAAACGGCGGUGGGCAGAAGACGUGUGUCCGCAACCCAAACCCGAGAAGACCGAGAGGGUACGCCAUUUACCUAACGCCCUGUGUUAGUGGUCACAUAAGUCUCCGGGCCAACUGUGUUUCAACCUCCUACUCCAACGGCACUUCUAUGUUUCUUCGUACUUGCUAUAAGAGAAGUCCCGGCAUUCAGAGGACCGUUAGUGACGAAACUCCAAACGUACUCGACAAGGAUGUGACGACAUUGAACUGCGUGGAGCUAAGUGGAAAACCAAGUCCUCAUGUCAUGACAUCCUGAUUCACGGUUUAUGGAAGUACUAAGUACUCCCGGAGUAUCUUUUACGCGUUGAAACAUUUAACAUGUCUUAAAACGACCGUCGAGUCACAUAUACCUUCUAUCUAAAACGGACAAGACUUGCAAUUAAUUCGAUUACUAGUUAUAUGAAACAUAAAGAACAAUAUAAAAAAGAGCUACUGUAGUAAAACUACCAGAUAACUGUAUCGUUGGAACCCUACUAAUCAAUCUUUCAAAGUUGGCGGUUUUCAAAACAAGUUAUGACGUUUAAUUACUUCAAUGAUAAAUUGUACGGUAACGGAUUGUGAUUAAACGUCGAGUACGACUGGUGUAAUUUGUACAGAUAAAAAACAAUGAUCUGUAUACAGCACGGAACUUCUAAUAAAUAAAUGAAUGAUAAUUUCCAACAUACGGAGUUAAAUUAACAACGUUGACACCACUGCUCAUUAAACCUUGCCUCCCUCAUCAAAGAUUAAAAUAUGGUUAAAGGAAGUACGCAUUAAGUAGAUUCUAAUGAGAAAUUUAAGCGUAUCGUUACGUGCCCCUUUAGUGAUCGCCAAUACGUUUAGGUACAGUAAAAAGUGCACGGUAGUACGGUUCCUAAUCUUUGCUUUCAUCUUCUCUUUCUAAUCUUUGCGUGAUAAUCGGGAUAUAUUAACGAAAGUCCGUUAGCUAUGUCAAAGAAUAGAAGGUACAGGAAAGGGAGCUGGCAGAAACACUGGCUUUACUGUUACAGUGUUAGGAAGGGAAUUAGAUAACAAAGGCACCAUCAAUGCGACUAUGAGACACGGGUGAGUGUUACGUAUUACUUUGUAAGAAUGUAAUUUUCUGUGGUCGGAAAACUAAAGCAUAGGAAAGAAAGUAUGUGUUGGGUAGGUUUUGGUCAGAAAAUUUAGGGGCGUACCUUUUAGUGGUCGUAGAUUAUAAGUAUAUUUGGGUAUAGUAGAAUGUGCGCGGUUAGUACGGGUACUAAUCUUUGCUUUAGUGUUCGACGGGUCUUAAACGAAGGUCCGUUGGGUACGCCAAAGAAUAGGAGGUAACAGGGAAAGGAGACUGGCAGACCUUUGGCUUAACUGUUACAGUGUUAGGAGGGGAAUUAAAGAAAGAGGCAGCGCCAGUGCGAUCGAGCUAUUUUGACUUUAGUUAGUUAGUAGUUUUCCUUUUUUUCUUCUAUUGAAGUCGUUUCGCACGCCAGGUUUGGUUUGUUGCUGCAGUUAGUUUGGGAGAUAAAUAAGGGUGGCAUAAGGGCGAAGAGACGUUCGUUCGUUCGCUGACAUGGUGUCAAAGAAGUCAUUCGUACUACUCUUGAUACUGGCCAGCAGAGGGGGGUCGACACCGGCGCCACCGCCACGAGGACCGCCGCAACCGCACGGAGGAGGCCGGUCGACGGCGGCACCUUGGCUCGCCGGUACGGCGCCUGGCGUAUCGGGCCGACGGGCCCGUCGGCCGCCACCUGAAGCUGUACAUGAGGCCCAUGUAGUGCCACCUGCUCCCGCGGCCUGCCCGCGACAAGAUAGACGACGUCCUCCGCGGCCUCCUGCAGGUCGGCCGCGGCGAGCACGACACCGAGUUGCCGCCGGGGCCGACGAGGAGGCAGCGCAUGCCGCGCAGCCUCCUCGAGCCGCGCAAGGCGCAGUGCGGGGCGCCGCGGCCAGAGCAGGAGUUGCUCGUGGCGACCUUGUUUCACCGGUUGCACGACAAGGACCUGAGCGGCCGGCCGCACCCCAAGAGGAUGUGGUUGUGGUGGAGGCUGUAGAUGUGGAGGCCGCUGUUGUCCUGCCGCGUGCUGAGCAUGCGGAAGGACCGCUUCACCGAGCUCUCCAAGGGCGUGAUGUUCAUGGCGCUGCAGAUGUAGCGGCCGCUCUCGAUGCGCCCCGUGAUGCAGGGCCUCGACAGCGUCGACCAGGUGGCCUGCUCGUUGGGCCGGUAGUUGAAGUUCCCGAAGUACCAGCCGUUGCCGGAGUAGCUGCUGAUGGUGCUGAUGCACCCGUGGAAGCUCAAGACCACCUUGGUGCCCGAGCAGAGGCUGCUGUGGAUGGUUGCGGAGUCCCUCCGGACGGAGGUGCUGAGGAAGUAGGUGGGGAGCGGCCGCACGCUGCGGCGGUGCCUGCAGCGGUGCCGCCUCGUCCCGUUGUAGCUGUACAUGUCGGAGAUGUGCGGGCAGACGUUGUAGUGGAGCAGCAGGAGGAGGAGGAGGAGGAGGAACUCGGUCGUUGCCGCCAGGUCUCCCGCGAUGGGUACCGACUGGCCUAGCAUGCUGGGCACGUGCCUCGCCAUGAGCUGCCGCAUGAUGUUGGCCGCCCUGCACGUCUGUCGGGAGGUGCGGUUGCAGUGGCCGCGAUACUUGAUGUGCACCAGCUGCACGUCGCUGUGGUAAUUAUGGGUGACCGUACUACGAGGCUCCAGGUACGAAGGGUAAAUGUCCCUCGAAUAACGUCGACCGGAUUCCUAAACCCAGAAGUCGCCCCUGUGCCUACGCCAUCAGGGGAACUGUCGUUGCUCCAUGAGGUAGCCGCGAGACCCAGAAGGUUGAUGGUGGUCAACCAUGGGAACCAUACUGCUGGUCCUCCAACCGCCAACCUCGGUCCACAUGUUCCCAGAAUGCGACCAGAGGCAGUCUCCGCGCCCGGUGCUCCAAGGAGACGUGGCUGGCGCCGUUCGCGAGCAUGACAAAGUCAUGAAGGACGUCCCGUUCGGGUACGGUCCGGUCCGGUGUUUACGCUGCCACCGAAUCGUUGUUUGUUUCCCUACCUUCAGUUUAUCAUUAAAGCUACACCUUUUUGUUCUCACUAGUAGUUAUUUCGUUAUCUACGAAGAGUUCAUGAAAAGGACAUAUCGAUCAUAUAUACGUGUAUUACGCCGCUAAAUAGCUCUUAUACCUGUGUUUCGUGUUUUCUUGUGUCUCCUUUGUGAAAUCCUGUCUGAACUAUGCUUGCUGACUAUAAGGCUAUUCUAACUACAGAGACGUUAUUUGCAAAGUCAUCGUUGUAGUUUUGUCUUACUGUCCUCGACGUGAGUGGUCGUUGAAUGCUAUUAUCACAUUAGAAUUCUUCAACGUGCGAGCUAGAUAGUAUACUCUAGUACAUUCCUUCUUUUGACCUGCCGGCGCGACGACCAUUACAGCUGUUGUCUGUUGAACCGUAGUCGUCGGCGGAACCGUUUCGUUAACUUU